GUGCUUGCUGUGCAGCACAUAUAUUACAAUUGGAAUGAUACAGAGAAAAUUAGCAUGAACCCUGAGCAAGAACAACAUGCAAAUUCAUGAAGCAUUCCAUAUUUUU